rnacentral:rRNA from 1 species
GUACUGCGGUAUGACAGAACUGUGGGGACACGUAAGGAAAGCGGAAGCCGGGAAUGGAAAGCCCGGUGCAAGCGGGGUACCAGCCACUUUGGCAAAUCCGGGUGGCAAUGGGAAGCCGUGAUGCGGAGCGAAAUAAAGUAGCGAAGUCCGUGAGCCAUGCGUCAAGGAAAGCCGCUAUCGUUCAUACCGUACCCGUACCGUAAACCGACACAGGUGGAUGAGGAGAGAAUCCUAAGGCCGGCGGAAGAAGCAUUGUCAAGGAACUCGGCAAAAUGGCCCCGUAACUUAGGGAUAAGGGGUGCCUGGGAAACCAGGCCGCAGAGAAUAGGCUCAAGCAACUGUUUAGCAAAAACACAGGUCUAUGCGAAACCGAAAGGUGAGGUAUAUGGGCUGACGCCUGCCCGGUGCUGGAAGGUUAAGAGGAGAGGUUAGCGGUAACGCGAAGCUUUGAAUUUAAGCCCCAGUAAACGGCGGCCGUAACCAUAACGGUCCUAAGGUAGCGAAAUUCCUUGUCGGGUAAGUUCCGACCCGCACGAAAGGUGUAAUGAUUUGAGCGCUGUCUCGACAAUGCAUCCGGUGAAAUUGAAGUACCAGUGAAGAUGCUGGUUACCUGCGCCAGGACGGAAAGACCCCAUGGAGCUUUACUCCAGUCUGGUACUGGGACUCGGUAUUGCAUGUACAGGAUAGGUGGGAGGCUGAGAAAUGGUAACGCCAGUUGCCAUGGAGCCGCUGUUGGGAUACCACCCUUGCAGUAUUGGGUUUCUAACCAGCCGCCGUGACCCGGCGGUGGGACAAUGCCAGACGGGGAGUUUGACUGGGGCGGUCGCCUCCGAAAGGGUAUCGGAGGCGCCCAAAGGUUCCCUCAGAAUGGACGGAAACCAUUCGAAGAGUGCAAAGGCAGAAGGGAGCUUGACUGCGACACCGACGGGUGGAGCAGGUACGAAAGUAGGGCUUAGUGAUCCGGUGGUAUUAAGUGGGAAUGCCAUCGCUCAACGGAUAAAAGCUACCCUGGGAUAACAGGCUUAUCACUCCCAAGAGUUCACAUCGACGGAGUGGUUUGGCACCUCGAUGUCGGCUCAUCGCAUCCUGGGGCUGUAGUAGGUCCCAAGGGUUGGGCUGUUCGCCCAUUAAAGCGGUACGCGAGCUGGGUUCAGAACGUCGUGAGACAGUUCGGUCCCUAUCCGGCGUGGGCGUAGGAUAUCUGAGAGGAGCUGUCCUUAGUACGAGAGGACCGGGAUGGACGGGCCGCUGGUGCAUCGGUUAGACUGCCAAGUCUACGGCCGAGUAGCCAAGCCCGGAAGGGAUAAACGCUGAAGGCAUCUAAGCGUGAAGCCCCCCUUAAGAUGAGAUAUCCCAUUCGAAAGAAGUAAACCCCCUUGAAGACGACGAGGUAGAUAGGGCAGAGGUGGAAGUGCAGCAAUGCAUGGAGCUGACUGUUACUAAUCGGGUGAGGGCUUGACCU